GGGUGAGGGGAGAGUAACGGCCACGGCGGCGACCACGGAGAUCGAAAGGGACUGGUGGUGUUCGGGCGGCGUUUGGGGCGCCAUGGACGAAGCCAGCAGCUGUGGCAGCGGGGGCGGCUUCCGCCCCGGGGUGGACAGCCUGGACGAGCCGCCCAACAGCCGCAUCUUCCUGGUGAUCAGCAAGUACACUCCGGAGUCGGUGCUGAGGGAGCGCUUCUCGCCCUUCGGGGAGAUCCAGGACAUCUGGGUGGUGCGGGACAAGCACACCAAGGAGUCCAAGGGCAUCGCCUUCGUCAAGUUCGCCCGCAGCUCGCAGGCCUGCAGGGCCAUGGAGGAGAUGCACGGACAGUGCCUCAGCCCCAGCGACUCCAAGCCCAUCAAGGUUUUCAUUGCCCAGGCAAGAUCAUCUGGGAGCCACCGGGAUGUAGAAGAUGAAGAACUUACAAGAAUCUUUGUUAUGAUACCAAAAUCAUACACGGAAGAAGAUCUAAGGGAUAAAUUUAAGGUCUAUGGAGACAUUGAGUAUUGCAGCAUUAUUAAGAAUAAAAGCACUGGAGAAAGUAAAGGUUUGGGCUAUGUAAGAUACUUAAAGCCAUCACAAGCUGCCCAGGCCAUAGAAAACUGUGAUCGAAGUUUUAGAGCAAUCUUGGCUGAACCUAAAAAUAAAGCAUCUGAAUCUUCUGAACAAGAUUAUUAUAGUAGUAUGAGGCAGGAGGCAUUGGGACAUGAACAUAGAGUAAAUAUGUUUCCUUUUGAAGAACAGCCAGAAUUUCCCUGUUUUGAAAAGAAUGAUAUCCGAGGCCAAGAGACCAUCUCCAAACGCUUGUCAGUGGUGUCACGCGUUCCUUUCACACAAGAGCAGCUCUACAGCAUUUUUGAUAUAGUCCCAGGCUUGGAAUAUUGUGAAGUCCAACGAGAUCCUUACUCUAACUAUGGUCAUGGAGUGGUUCAAUAUUUUAACGUAGCAUCAGCUAUAUAUGCAAAAUACAAGCUACAUGGAUUUCAGUACCCUCCUGGAAAUCGGAUAGGUGUCUCUUUCCUUGAUGAUGGAAGCAAUGGAACAGACCUCCUUAGAAAAAUGGCAACCCAGAUGGUCGCUGCACAGCUUGCAUCAAUGGUGUGGAAUAACCCUGGUCAACAACAAUUUCUGGCAUCUUUGCAAUUUGGAGGAAGUUCUGGGUCUCAGUUGCCUCAAAUUCAGACAGAUAUUGUGCUUCCAUCAUGUAAAAAGAAAGCCCCGCCUGAAACUGCUGUGAAGGAAAGACUUUUUAUUGUGUUUAAUCCUCAUCCCUUACCUUUGGACAUACUGGAGGAUAUAUUCUGUCGUUUUGGGAAUCUGAUUGAAGUCUACCUUGUAUCAGGAAAAAAUGUGGGGUAUGCCAAGUAUGCAGAUAGAACAAGUGCUAAUGAUGCCAUAGCUACUUUACAUGGAAAAAUUUUGAAUGGCGUCAGGCUUAAAGUUAUGUUGGCAGAUUCACCCAGAGAAGAAUCUAACAAAAGGCAAAGAACGUAUUGAUCAUACAGAAAUUCAGUGCCCUGCUCUUGUUUAUUACCUUUCUGACCUCUCACUUUGGCUUCACUUGUUUGGGUUCCAUCUAGUUUUCAGAACAGAUACUAAAUAUUGACAUAACCCUCAGCUGACUGACUGAAAAAUGUGACUGGACGCACUCCCUGUGGACAGUUGACAGCUUUUUUUGUAUAAUUUGCUAGUUUGUGCACAACGUUGUCUUGUUGGGGGGAGCAGAGUUUGCAGAUAUGUAUUUUAAAUCCACCCAUUUAUGCUAAAAGUAAUACAGUAGUUGUUUGAAGAGAAAUGUGUUUUGUUAUGUUUAGAAGAAAUAAAGUUUUCUUUGUUUCACUAAA